AAAAUAUUCAGAUAGAAGUUACUUCAUUAUAUACUUCCUUGUAAACAACUAUUGUACACCUGGCAUCUGAAAAAUGAUGACCAGUGCCAUAUUUGCAACCAAUUAGAUAACUAUGAACAUUUUUUCAUUUCAUGCAAAUACUUUAAAAACUUUUGGAAAAAGGUCAAAAUACUCCUUGAUAAAAUAAAAAUGGGAACACACAUAAUCACCUUCAAAAAUCUAAUACUAGGC
rnacentral:lncRNA from 1 species